AAAGUCAGCGGAUAAAGAAGAAAUCAGAAGUUUGAGCAAAAACAGGAUCUAUUAGGUAGAAAACUUUUCAUUAAACAAUUAAAAUUUCCCAUUCUAAUUUAAUGAAAUCAAUUCAAAUUACCUAAAGUUGGGAUGGCCACCAAAACGCCAAGAGCAGAAGCAAUGAAGAAGGAAAAAAAAGCCCCCACAAAAGGAGGAAAAUAACGGAAUCUUCAUACCGCAGUUUUUUGGUGCGAUUACUUGGUCUCUUGAGUGGUAUUUUGGAAUUUUAUGGAUAUUGAAUAUUUUAAUCUUGGUUUUCUCAUAGUUUCUGUAGGUACUUUUAGUAGGGAAAUUUAAUGGUUUGCUGGAGUUAUUUUCUUCUUUGAAUUCUCCGACGUUUUCGAGAACUUCUAACUAUUUGUUUAUCUCCUGAAUCCUAAUGUUUAGACAUUGGGUUCCCUUGAUACAAUGAUUGAUAUAUCCACAAUUAAUCCAAGAAUCUUGUGAAGGAUUGAAUGUUUAGUGCGAUUUUGGGGGAGAUGUAGACGGGGGCUCCUAUUGUAAAUUGCUAAUUUCCUAGCCCCUGUUUGCAAUUACAGAUUGGGGAUUAAGUUUGUAAAUAAUAAGAGAAGGGCCUGCUUGUAAUUAAAGAAACUAAAGGACUUGGUUUUAAUUUUAGACAUGGGGUCAAAGUGCAAUUUUCAAAAGGUGAUUAAAUUUGAAUUUUGAAAUUGGAUUUAAAAGUCCAUACUCCAAUAUUACAAUUUUGAUCCAAUUGAAAUUUUAUUUAAACUUGACCUAAUUAAAAUUAUAUAUUGAAUAAAUAAUAAAAUUAAUUGACGACUUUUAUAUUUUUCAUUAAAUUGUAUAUGUAUUUAAAUAUUGCCAUUAUUUGUGCAUUUAAAUUUCAUUUUUUGAAAUUUUGUUGUUAAUUUCGUCUAUCAAUCACAUAUGAAUCUUUGUUUUUUAUCGAUUAAUUUUUGCGUAAUUAUUGUUUUGUGAUUAAAUUUUUAUGAGUUUUGAGAUGAUCCUUAUUUGUCCCCACAAAGAGAAAUAUUUUGAAAUAAAAAUUGGUAGCUGCCAAAGUGGCAUACUCAUUGCUAUUUGUUCGGUUUUCUCUACAAUAAAAAAAAUACAUAUAUUUUUACCCAAGAAUAUUUGAUUUAUUGCAUAUAAUAUUUUGCCCAAAGGUAUUAUUACAUGAAAUAUUUUUUAAAAAAUGGCAUAAGGCAGUUAACGAGCUUAUUUGGUUUAAAAAUUUCCUUCUACCCAAAGGUGUUGGAAUUUCGAAAAUCAAUGUAAUUUUGUUAACUAGCUAUAUAAUGUAUUUUAAGAGUACCUUAUAGCAUGUUGUAAGGUCAACCCAAAGGUGACUCUAUAAUGAUGCACUCAGGCUCUUACCGUAAUAAAAUUCAUAUGUUUCGAUUUAAAUUACGAAUUAUCUAAUUAAUAGCCCAUAUUAAUUAGUUGGGUAUUACAUCAUCCAUUUGAUUGCAUGUAUUAUGUUUGGAUGAUAUUAAGAGUGUGAUACUUUAUGUUUCCACAGUUUAUAAUGCCUCGUCCCUUUCGAAUCAACUGUCUGCUAUUGAAACCUUGAUUGGGAAUAAUUAUGUGAGAUGAAAACGAGACGUAGAAAUAGUACUUGGUCUUUUAGACUUGAAUUUUGCAAUGGAGAAAAAAACUUGAGAAACCCACAGAUAAGAGUACCGUUGAAUAUGUAGCUGAGUAUGAAAAGUUGGAAAGGGCUAACAAACUCUGUUUGAAAAUCAUUAAGCGAUCGAUAUCUGAUUCCAUUCUAGGUGUCAUCCUGAUAAUGAAAAUGCCAAAAGUUUUAUGGAUGCCAUAGGAGAAAAAUUUAUUGAGUCUGAUAAAGCCGAAACUGGGGAUCUGAUGGAUAAAUUGAUGAGCAUGAAAUAUGAUGGCACAAGUGGUGUUAGGGAGCAUGUCGUGAAAGUGAUAAAUAUAUCAUCUAAGCUAAAGGCUCGUGGCAUUCCCAUUGUGAAGCCUUUCCUGGUCUAUCAUGUUUUGAAUAGCCUUCCUAGCAAGUUUAAUCAGUUUAAGGUUGCUUACAAUGCUCAAGGGGAUAAAUGAAAUUUGAAUGACCUCAUAGCAGUGUGUGCACAAGAAGAGUAUAGGAUAUGUCGUGAAACUGUGCAAUUAGCUUUUCAGUCAUCACAGAAUAAGGGGCCUUCUCAUAAUCAUAAACCUAUAUUUCGUAAGGGUAAUAAGUCUCACCGAAGUCAGCAGAAUAAAAAUUUUAGUAGUCCCAAAGGAGUUAUAAAGAAAAAUGAUCAAUGCAAGUUCUGUAAAAAGAAAGGUCACUGGCAAAAAGACUGUUUUAAGUUCAAGACUUGGUUAGAAAAGAAGAAGAGUUCUCCAGGUAUUCCCUUGGCCUUAGUUUGUUUUGAGUCUUCUUUAGUAGAUGUGCCUUUGAAUUCUUGGUGGUUAGACUCGAGAGCUAGUAUUCAUAUUGCAAAUUCCUUACAGAGGCCAAGUGAGAAUGAGGUCAGCUUGAGCACUGCAAAUGGAUUUCAAGUGAAGGUUGAAUUCAUAGGAAUAGUGAAGUUAACUUUAGAAUCUGAUUUUUAUCUUGUUUUGGAAAAUACAGUUUAUGUACCGCAGAUGAGGCGAAAUUUAAUUUCUAUACCGAAACUUGAUGCUUGUGGUUUUACAUUUAAUUUUAGUAAUGGAAUGGUUAAGUUAUUUAAUGAUUCUCGUUUGAUUGGAAAUGGCAUUUUAUGUGAUGGUUUAUAUAAAUUAUCCUUGGCUUCUUUUGGUAAUGUUUCAUGUGUUACCAAUGUAUCAAAGAAAAGAACUUUAAUUCGUGAAUCAUCCUCUAUGUUGUGGCAUAAGCGUUUGGGUCAUAUCUCUAAGGAUAUAAUGGAAAGAUUAGUAAAAGAUGAGAUACUUCCCUCUUUAGACUUCUCCGAUUUUGACACCUGUGUAGAUUGUGUAAGAGGAAAGUUAACUAAGUCUACGAGGAAGGGUUCGACUAGGAGUAAUGGAAUAUUGGACUUAAUUCACACUGAUAUCAGUGAACCUUUGCCUUCUACUAUAUGUGGAAAUAAAUAUUUCAUAACUUUCAUUGAUGAUUUCUCACGAUAUGGAUAUGUUUACUUGAUUAACGAUAAAUCACAUACACUUGAGAAAUUCAAAGUUUUCAAACUAGAAGUAGAGAAACAAUGUGGAAAAAGUAUCAAAGUUGUGAGAUCUGAUCGAGGUGGUGAGUACUUGGAAAAUAUGACGAAUCUGGUCAAAAUAUGGGUGAUUUUGCAAAGUUUUUACAAGAGUAUGGAAUAGUGCCCCAAUACACCAUGCUAGGGACACCUGAACAAAAUGAUGUUUCUGAAAGACGUAAUCGAACUCUAAAAGAUAUUGUUAGAAGUAUAAUAAGUAGAACAAAUUUGCCUGAAUAUUUGUGGGGUGAAGCCUUGAAAACAGCUAUGUAUAUUUUGAACAGAGUUCCAAGUAAAGCUGUUGCAAAGACACCUUUUGAAUUAUGGACGGGACGUAAGCCAAGUAUAGUUCACUUUAAAGUUUGGGGAUGUCCAGCUGAGGUUAGGAUUUAUAAUCCAUUUGAAAAGAAAUUAGACCCUAAAUCAACUCCUGGUUACUUUAUUGGGUAUCCGGAUAGAUCAAAGGGAUAUAAGUUUUAUUGUCCAAAUUGCGGUACUAAAUUGUGGAGUCCAUUACUGCUAAGUUUCUGGAGAACGAUAUUGGAGAUAGUGGGAGUUCCACGUUGAGAGAAAUUUUUGUUGAACCUAAUCAAGUUGUUGUUCCAGUUCCUAUCAUACAGGAAAGAGUUGGUUCCCAACCAAUUGAAGUUGUUAAUGAAGAACCGAGGAACCAGGAGGAAUCUCCAAUUCCUUAAACAACGAUUGAAUCGGUUCCUGAGCCACAAGUUAGGAGAUCACAAAGGGAAAGAAGAUCUGCAUUGCCCAGUGAUUAUGUUACAUAUUUAUUGGAGAGCGAUUUUAAUAUUGGGCAUAUUGUUGAUCCUGUAACUUAUAAUCAAGCAUUGACAAGUCCUGAGGCAGAUUUAUGGAUUGCUGCCAUGGAAGAUGAAAUGAAUUCCAUGAAAAGGAAUAAAGUUUGGGAUCUUGUUGAACUUUCUCCAGUUGCUAAGGCUGUAGAUAACAAAUGGAUUUUCAAAAGUAAAUUAGAUUCAAAAGGAAAUGUUGAACGAAAGAAAGCAAGAUUGGUUGCAAAAGGUUUCACUCAACGAGAAGGCAUUGAUUAUGUUGAAACUGUAGAACCCUAAAUAAUUUUAAACACCUUAGUGGUACAAAGACGUGAAUAUUGGAUGGUUAAAGUAUACUUCAGAUUUUUAGUCUCAUUUGAGACCCAUUUACGACAUAGAAAAUAUUCGAUUUGAAAAAUGAUAUUUAAAGAAAAGUUGUAGCUCUUUGAGUUAGCUUUUCAACGCAUUUUGAAUUAUCUCAAUCGGAUAUUCGGAGAAGUUAUGAUAGAAAUACUAAAGGCUAUAUAGUAUCAAUCGAAGUACGCGGAAUAUGAAAAGUCAAAUUCCUACACGAUUUUCUAGCACCUUCUUAAACCUAUAACUCUCACAUAAAUGACACCCGUAUUAAUGAGUAUUAGGCCCUUCACUUGCCCUUAAGUUGUGAGAUUUUCACCUAUAAAUAGGCCCCAAUGUAUACACAUUUUUCAUACCAAGACAAAAGCUUCUAAACAUAAAAGAGAGAGUUUUCAAGUCUAAAAAAAAGAGAAAGGAGAGAGAGGAAAAUUAGUUUUUCCUAGAAGUUUUGGUGCUAUCAAGAAGUGUUUUCCAAACAUCAAUUCUCAACGGAGUGUUUUUUUUUUAAAACAUCAAAGGAGUGCAUUUUUCAACAAGGUUCAAAGCAUCAAUCAAGUUAAGUAGAGGUGCAAAGUGUUAAUUCGUGUUAAGUUAUAAGUUUCUAGCAAAUGAAGAUUUAUGUUAAUGUUUGUAUGUCUAAUGGUACCUCCGGUACGGUAUACACCUCCAUGUCUAAUGGUACCUCUAGGUACAGCAUGUACUUCCGGUCGAGGCGUCGUGUUAAGUCAUGACUCUACAUGUUUGGGAUUCUACCGAAAAUCCUAAUAUAAAAAGGUUUCUAAAGUUAAAGCUUUGAAAUGUAUAGUUUGAUCACGAAUGCACCAAUGAUAUCUAUUGAGUUUUUUUAACUCACGGGUUUAACCCCUUCUCUACAG
rnacentral:lncRNA from 1 species